rnacentral:rRNA from 1 species
UACGUAGGUGGCAAGCGUUAUCCGGAUUUAUUGGGCGUAAAGGGAACGCAGGCGGUCUUUUAAGUCUGAUGUGAAAGCCUUCGGCUUAACCGGAGUAGUGCAUUGGAAACUGGGAGACUUGAGUGCAGAAGAGGAGAGUGGAACUCCAUGUGUAGCGGUGAAAUGCGUAGAUAUAUGGAAGAACACCAGUGGCGAAAGCGGCUCUCUGGUCUGUAACUGACGCUGAGGUUCGAAAGCGUGGGUAGCAACAGG